rnacentral:lncRNA from 1 species
UCGGUUUCAAAAUGGGUUACAAAGGAUAAUGUCGGGUGUAGGGUAGGUUGAACAAAGAAGAAAAUUGGUUUAAAAUGUGGCGUUGGGAUGGGUAAAUAAUGGUAGGAAGGGAAACUUGAUGAUCGGAGUAAUAAGUGAUAAUGAUAAAAACUCGCAAGACUUUUCACUUUUUUUUCUUUCUUUUUUUUUAACUCGAUUUUUUUGUCACUUCUUUUUUUUCCUUUUUUUUCGAUUUUUUUAAUUUUUUUUUCCGAAUUUCUUCUCUUUUUUUUAAAUCUAAUACAAUAGUAAACUAAAUACAAGAAAGAAAAAAAAUUAAAUUCCAACUCAAAUUUUUUUGAUUUUUUG